GACAGAGGAUGCAAGCGUUAUCCGGAAUGAUUGGGCGUAAAGCGUCUGUAGGUGGCUUUUCAAGUCCGCCGUCAAAUCCCAGGGCUCAACCCUGGACAGGCGGUGGAAACUACCAAGCUGGAGUACGGUAGGGGCAGAGGGAAUUUCCGGUGGAGCGGUGAAAUGCGCAGAUAUCAGGAGGAACACCGGUGGCGAAGGCGGGUCUCUGGGCAACAACUGACGCUGAGGAGCGAAAGCGUGGGGAGCGAACAGG
rnacentral:rRNA from 1 species